AGCGUUAAUCGGAAUUACUGGGCGUAAAGCGCACGCAGGCGGUCUGUCAAGUCGGAUGUGAAAUCCCCGGGCUCAACCUGGGAACUGCAUUCGAAACUGGCAGGCUAGAGUCUUGUAGAGGGGGGUAGAAUUCCAGGUGUAGCGGUGAAAUGCGUAGAGAUCUGGAGGAAUACCGGUGGCGAAGGCGGCCCCCUGGACAAAGACUGACGCUCAGGUGCGAAAGCGUGGGGAGCAAACAGGAUUAGAUACCCUGGUAGUCCACGCCGUAAACGAUGUCGAUUUGGAGGUUGUGCCCUUGAGGCGUGGCUUCCGGAGCUAACGCGUUAAAUCGACCGCCUGGGGAGUACGGCCGCAAGGUUAAAACUCAAAUGAAUUGACGGGGGCCCGCACAAGCGGUGGAGCAUGUGGUUUAAUUCGAUGCAACGCGAAGAACCUUACCUGGUCUUGACAUCCACAGAACUUAGCAGAGAUGGAUUGGUGCCUUCGGGAACUGUGAGACAGGUGCUGCAUGGCUGUCGUCAGCUCGUGUUGUGAAAUGUUGGGUUAAGUCCCGCAACGAGCGCAACCCUUAUCCUUUGUUGCCAGCGGUCCGGCCGGGAACUCAAAGGAGACUGCCAGUGAUAAACUGGAGGAAGGUGGGGAUGACGUCAAGUCAUCAUGGCCCUUACGACCAGGGCUACACACGUGCUACAAUGGCAUAUACAAAGAGAAGCGACCUCGCGAGAGCAAGCGGACCUCAUAAAGUAUGUCGUAGUCCGGAUUGGAGUCUGCAACUCGACUCCAUGAAGUCGGAAUCGCUAGUAAUCGUAGAUCAGAAUGCUACGGUGAAUACGUUCCCGGGCCUUGUACACACCGCCCGUCACACCAUGGGAGUGGGUUGCAAAAGAAGUAGGUAGCUUAACCUUCGGGAGGGCGCUUACCACUUUGUGAUUCAUGACUGGGGUGAAGUCGUAACAAGGUAACCGUAG
rnacentral:rRNA from 1 species